UAGGGAAUCUUCCGCAAUGGACGAAAGUCUGACGGAGCAACGCCGCGUGAGUGACGAAGGUUUUCGGAUCGUAAAACUCUGUUGUGAGGGAAGAACAAGUACCAAGUAACUACUGGUACCUUGACGGUACCUCACCAGAAAGCCACGGCUAACUACGUGCCAGCAGCCGCGGUAAUACGUAGGUGGCAAGCGUUGUCCGGAAUUAUUGGGCGUAAAGCGCGCGCAGGCGGUUCUUUAAGUCUGAUGUGAAAGCCCACGGCUCAACCGUGGAGGGUCAUUGGAAACUGGAGAACUUGAGUGCAGAAGAGGAAAGUGGAAUUCCAUGUGUAGCGGUGAAAUGCGUAGAGAUGUGGAGGAACACCAGUGGCGAAGGCGACUUUCUGGUCUGUAACUGACGCUGAGGCGCGAAAGCGUGGGGAGCAAACA
rnacentral:rRNA from 1 species